GGCUCUAAGAAGGUAAUGUAUCCAAUUCUAGUUAUUUUGAUACGAAGAGUUGAAUCAACUACUUUUUCUUAUGCAACUAAACAUAUCGGCCAAUUUAAACAAAUUAAAACUCUGGGAGGAAAGACUCACAACAUGCAACUCCUCAUCAUGUGCUACAACUACCAGCUGCCUGGCUGUCCCUUGUAGGUUCCAGCAUAUUGGACAGAGCUGUGUGUGGAUCCAACGGAGUCACUUACGCCAAGAAACCAGGGGGAAGACACUAACUGUCAAAUGUGGACCUUGCUGAAGAAGUCGGAAUUUGCAACUUCAACCGGAUAAAACAUAGCUGGAACACAAAUUGUGAUGAAAAAGAGCAGAUUAUGCAGAAUAUAUAUAUAUAUAUAUUUUUAACACAAACUUUUUUUUCAACUUUUAUUCAUCUCUUUGUUGAUGUUGCACCCAGGGCUAACAAAAUGUCUCCAAACAGAAUGUAACAAGAUCCUUGCACAAGAGCACACAGCAACAAAUAAAGAGUGUCAGUAGGAA